UCCACCUGCUCCCAGCGCACACAGGCGGUACCCCUGCUGCCCUCCUGUAGCAGUGACAGGACCAGGUAUUUUCUGCAGCCUGAACCGCGACAUGGACAUGCGUGCUUUAGCAGCUGCUCGUGGCCCUGUGGAGACCGUGGUCGUACCCGGGUGUGUCUGGAGAGCAACGUCCUGUUAAGUGACCCGUUAAGGGCUAAGCCUCCUCGCACACAGCAAGGCGCCGUAACCUGAGCUCCCUGCUCCCCCCACCAACUGCCGCGCCGCGCCGCCCGUCCCCUUCACCGCGCCCUCUGGGCUCUGCCGUUAAUCGCACGGAGAGGGGGUGCCGCCGACACUCUUCGCUCCACCCACACGCGUGAGAGCGGCCGGGCUGGAGGGGGUUGCCUCGCUUUCCUUCAGCUUCUUAGAACUUUCUAGGCGCGAUUGUGGCCACAACUUGGACCUUCUAAGAACAGUGCUGCGUCGUGACGCUCUGCUACCAGGCUGAUCCGCUCGGGGUUUGUCCGGAAAUGGCGGACGCAGGAGGCGUCCCGAUCACAAUGGCUUGUCCUGCUGGGGUACUGCAACCACCCAGACAUCUGCUGGAAAAGUAGCAUGGAGAGCUGAAGGCAAUCCAGGAGGCUCCUAGAAUGCACUGAGGAUAAUUUCCUGAGUCAGGAAAUGCAGACCACCAACCUGUUCUUUCAGAGCUGCUUGUUCUAGGCAAUCAUUACUCACUGGGGAUGCCUACUGUGUUUUCUGAAAAACACAUAUGACAGUAAUAGAGUCAGUUAUCAGCCAGAACAAGAUGGAAAUCUUACAGAAAUCUGUCCGGAAUGAACUUGCAACUUGGGUCAUGAGCUGAUUUAGUACAUGACUGCCAAGUGACAGUGAUCAGAAAUUAAACACCAGUCCCUCUUGCCCUGUUGGCACCACCUUUACUCCUGGAUUUUGAACUAGAGGAAUGUUCCAAAAUGAUCUUAAUUUCUACAGAGAGGAAAAGAUAAUGUGCCACUGGACAAGCAUCAGCUAAGGAGAAAUGAGGGUCCAACGAUGAAGGAUUUCUAUGACUUCUUGGAACAAACAGCUAAAGUUUCUCCAUAUCUGUCAACAAUUUAGUCGUUGAUAAUGGACUCGUUUCAUUGCACAGUGAAAAGCAAG
rnacentral:lncRNA from 1 species